rnacentral:rRNA from 1 species
CAUAUCAAAAAGCGGAGGAAAAGAAACCAACAGGGAUUGCCCUAGUAACGGCGAGUGAAGCGGCAACAGCUCAAAUUUGAAAUCUGGCCCUCGUGGUCCGAGUUGUAAUUUGUAGAGGAUGCUUUUGGUUAGGUGCCUUCCGAGUUCCCUGGAACGGGACGCCAUAGAGGGUGAGAGCCCCGUCUGGUUGGACACCGAGCCUCUGUAAAGCUCCUUCGACGAGUCGAGUAGUUUGGGAAUGCUGCUCUAAAUGGGAGGUAUAUGUCUUCUAAAGCUAAAUAUUGGCCAGAGACCGAUAGCGCACAAGUAGAGUGAUCGAAAGAUGAAAAGCACUUUGAAAAGAGGGUUAAAAAGUACGUGAAAUUGUUGAAAGGGAAGCGCUUGUGACCAGACUUGGGCCCGGUCAAUCAUCCAGGGUUCUCCCUGGUGCACUUGGCCGGCCCAGGCCAGCAUCAGUUUGUCGCGGGGGAUAAAGACGUUGGGAAUGUGGCUCCUCCGGGAGUGUUAUAGCCCUUCGUGUAAUACCCUGCUUCGGACUGAGGUUCGCGCAUCUGCAAGGAUGCUGGCGUAAUGGUCAUCAGCGACCCGUCUU